CUGGGCUCCAUUCUCAGCCCUGUGCUCUUCAACAUCUUCAUUAACAACUUAUACACAGGACUCAAAGGACACAAAUGCAGGUGAUGAGGUUGGUUGACUUGUCGUUAACUCUGCAGCUGCCAUAUUUGAGGGACUCCCAUGCUAUAAAACAAACAAAACAGCAAGCAGAGGAGGGAUAUGUGAGAAGCUGGGAAGAGACACAACCAGAGCAGGUAGCCAGAGGGAUAUUCCAUGCCAUAUAACAUCAUGCUCAGCAAUAAAAGCUGGGAGAUGAAGAAGGAAGGGGGGAUACCCAUGGCUAUAGUGUUUACCUUCCCAAGUACACAUCGGACAUGACGAAGCCCCACUUUCUUGGAAACAUCUGCCAGCUGAUGGGAAGGAGUAAGCAACGUCCUUAUUUUGCUUUG